GUCGCAGGCGUAGGAAAUUUGAGAAGACCUGUCCUUAGUACGAGAGGACCGGGAUGGACGUACCUCUGGUGUACCAGUUGUUCUGCCAAGGGCAUGGCUGGGUAGCUAUGUACGGAAUGGAUAAGCGCUGAAAGCAUCUAAGCGCGAAGCCAACUUCAAGAUAAGAUUUCCCACCGCAAGGGUAAGACUCCAGAAAGACUAUCUGGUUGAUAGGUCGAAGGUGUAAGUGCAGCAAUGUAUUUAGCUUAUCGAUACUAAUAGGUCGAGGACUUGACCAAU
rnacentral:rRNA from 1 species